rnacentral:rRNA from 1 species
CAGUCGCCACGGUAAUACGUAGGUGGCAAGCGUUGUCCGGAAUUAUUGGGCGUAGAGGGCUCGCAGGCGGUUUCUUAAGUCUGAUGUGAAAGCCCCCGGCUCAACCGGGGAGGGUCAUUGGAAACUGGGAAACUUGAGUGCAGAAGAGGAGAGUGGAAUUCCACGUGUAGCGGUGAAAUGCGUAGAGAUGUGGAGGAACACCAGUGGCGAAGGCGACUCUCUGGUCUGUAACUGACGCUGAGGAGCGAAAGCGUGGGGAGCGAACAGGAUUAGAUACCCCUGUAGUCCCUGUCUCUUAUAC